rnacentral:rRNA from 1 species
CCUACGGGAGGCUGCAGUGGGGAAUAUUGCGCAAUGGGCGAAAGCCUGACGCAGCGACGCCGCGUGAGGGAUGAAGGUCUUCGGAUCGUAAACCUCUGGCAGCAGGGAAGAACGGUCACUGUGCUAAUCAGCAGUGAAUUGACGGUACCUGCAAAGGAAGCACCGGCUAACUCCGGGCCAGCAGCCGCGGUAAUACGGAGGGUGCGAGCGUUAAGCGGAAUUACUGGGCGGAAAGCGCUCGUAGGCGGUAUGUCAAGUCAAGGGUGCAAUCCCCGCGCGCAACGUGGGAACUGCCUUUGAAACUUGCAACCUGGCGUGUGUGCGAGGAUAGUGUACUUCCAGGUGU